rnacentral:rRNA from 1 species
AACGAACGCUGGCGGCAUGCCUAACACAUGCAAGUCGAACGAGACCUUCGGGUCUAGUGGCGCACAGGUGCGUAACGCGUGGGAACCUGCCCUUAGGUUCGGAAUAACUCCCCGAAAGGGGUGCUAAUACCGGAUAAUGUCUUCGGACCAAAGAUUUAUCGCCUUUGGAUGGGCCCGCGUUGGAUUAGCUAGUUGGUAGGGUAAAAGCCUACCAAGGCGACGAUCCAUAGCUGGUCUGAGAGGAUGAUCAGCCACACUGGGACUGAGACACGGCCCAGACUCCUACGGGAGGCAGCAGUGGGGAAUAUUGGACAAUGGGCGAAAGCCUGACCCAGCAAUGCCGCGUGAGUGAUGAAGGCCUUAGGGUUGUAAAGCUCUUUUACCCGGGAUGAUAAUGACAGUACCGGGAGAAUAAGCUCCGGCUAACUCCGUG